rnacentral:rRNA from 1 species
UACGAGUGCCCCAAGCGUUAUCCGGAAUUACUGGGCGUAAAGCGUGCGCAGGCGGUGAUGUAAGACAGAUGUGAAAUCCCCGGGCUCAACCUGGGAACUGCAUUUGUGACUGCAUCGCUGGAGUGCGGCAGAGGGGGAUGGAAUUCCGCGUGUAGCAGUGAAAUGCGUAGAUAUGCGGAGGAACACCGAUGGCGAAGGCAAUCCCCUGGGCCUGCACUGACGCUCAUGCACGAAAGCGUGGGGAGCAAACAGG